rnacentral:rRNA from 1 species
GCAGCCGCCACGGUAAUACAGAGGGUGCGAGCGUUAAUCGGAUUUACUGGGCGUAAAGCGUGCGUAGGCGGCUUCUUAAGUCGGAUGUGAAAUCCCUGAGCUUAACUUAGGAAUUGCAUUCGAUACUGGGAAGCUAGAGUAUGGGAGAGGAUGGUAGAAUUCCAGGUGUAGCGGUGAAAUGCGUAGAGAUCUGGAGGAAUACCGAUGGCGAAGGCAGCCAUCUGGCCUAAUACUGACGCUGAGGUACGAAAGCAUGGGGAGCAAACAGGAUUAGAUACCCGUGUAGUCCCUGUCUCUUAUAC